CUGACGCUAAUGCUCGAAAGUGCGGGUAUCGAACAGGAUUAGAUACCCUGGUAGUCCGCACGGUAAACGAUGGAUGCCCGCUGUUGGCGAUAUAUUGUCAGCGGCCAAGCGAAAGCGUUAAGCAUCCCACCUGGGGAGUACGCCGGCAACGGUGAAACUCAAAGGAAUUGACGGGGGCCCGCACAAGCGGAGGAACAUGUGGUUUAAUUCGAUGAUACGCGAGGAACCUUACCCGGGCUUGAACUGCCAGAGAACGACGGAGAGAUCCUGAGGCCCUUCGGGGCUCUGGUGGAGGUGCUGCAUGGUUGUCGUCAGCUCGUGCCGUGAGGUGUCGGCUUAAGUGCCAUAACGAGCGCAACCCUUUUCGCUAGUUGCCAUCAGGUUAUGCUGGGCACUCUGGCGAUACUGCCACCGUAAGGUGUGAGGAAGGUGGGGAUGACGUCAAAUCAGCACGGCCCUUACGUCCGGGGCUACACACGUGUUACAAUGGGUGGUACAGAGAGUCGGCCGUCUGCAAAUGCGGUCCAAUCAAUAAAGCCAUCCUCAGUUCGGAUUGGGGUCUGCAACCCGACCCCAUGAAGCUGGAUUCGCUAGUAAUCGC
rnacentral:rRNA from 1 species